UUUAAUUUUGUUUUGAAUUUUUUAAAAAAAUUUCCAAUUUCAUUCGGAUUUUUCUGUAUUUUUCUGUUUUUUAUAUAAAAAAACUCGACACGUCAUCAUUUUGACGUGGAAACUGAACAGUACCGGUCGUCUAUGAACAGCAAAACAUUUUUGGAGGUUUAUUAUGAUAAAAAUAUCACUUUGAAGGUUUAAAGUGCUAGUGAAAAAAUUCAGUGUUUAAAGUGCUAGAAAAUGACACUCUGAGUGUUUAAAAUGUGAUUUUCCCGAUAUUCUUUUGACGACUUGUCUUUUGUAAUUUCCGAUCUAAGUUAUGUCAAGUGGAUUUUUUUAUUCUGCAUAAUUUCACUUCCGAUGUUUAUACCAUAAAAUAUAGGCUCCGAAUGGUAACUGCGGUUUGAGCGGUACGGAACAAGCGGUUUAACUGCGGUGCGGUUUUAACAGUUAUAAAAACGUAUAGAUAUAUGAUAUAUGUUGAGAUUUUUGUUACAGUUAAAUUCGGGGCAGGGCGGAACGGUUCGUAACAUUCGAAGCCAUAAAACUACUCAUCUGCUUUUUAGAUAAACUUCUAUAGAACAACCAAAAUCAUACCUUGAGAUAAUUUUUCAAAACAGUUAAAAAAAAAAGUAAUUAUUUCAUGGAAUUGAAAGAAAUAUUGGGACGUCAAUAUGAAAAAGAAUGUUUAGUCGGUGAAUUUUCUAUAUCAUAUUUUGUUAUCAUUGAUGUAUUCAAUUUAUAAUAUGUUUGUUCACGAGUUCUUAUUUCUAAUCAUUUGUGUUUUAAAUAUUAUUAGCGAAGUUAUGAAUGUCGAACCUUUAAAAUAUCUCAUUCAAAAUGUACAACUAAGUUAGAAUUAAUUACUAUUUGUGACACAAUGUAAAUUUUAUUCAGAGUUUAAUUUAAUAUUGUUUUAUUUUUAUGACAUGACGCUUAUUUAAACUUUUAAUAUUUAGUGAUACAUGUUUAACAUGCACAUUAUUGGUAUGCAAACCAAAUAUCAGAUUUUUUUUUAAAAUGAUCCUGAAAAUUACGGUUAUAUGUAUUAUUGAGUUUUGUUCGAGUUUUCUGCAUAGUAAAAUGUCCCAAAGUUAUACUACAAAAAUAAAGAUUUGUUCCUUCAUAUUGAAUGCGCUUAUACUUAAGCCAAAAAUUUUAAAAUUAGACUUUUUAAUAUUCAAAAAACUUGGGAUUUAAUUUCUAGGUAAAAAAAUCAUGUAUAAACAAUAAAAAAAUAUUUUCACACAAUAAACAAUUGAGAUUUGGCUAAUAAAGACUGAAAAAACACAAAAAAAUUAUUUAUAUCUAAUUAAAUACAUCAGUAUAAAAUAAAUAUAAUAGUAAAAAAUUAUUAAGAAUAUAUAUUAGCUUGCACUAGCCCGCACCUAGUUUACAUUAAGUAAAGACAAUAUAGAUUUAAAGAAAUAAAAUACAUAUAUUAAAAAAAACAUUUGAUUAUAAUUACUUUUCUAAUUAAAAUGAUUUUAAAAUAUAUCUGUUUUUUUAGAAAAUAGAAGAACGAGCAACAACAAAUUCAAAGGAAGAGCAAUAUUAUACUACCGUGGACCCGCAUACAUGAGAUUAACCUCGUAAACUCCAAAGGAACCCAACGGCUACUUUCUCCGAACGGCUACUUUCUCCAAACGGCUACUUUUCUGCUUUCAAAUUUCCUUAUAUAAUCUGAGAGAGAACUUCAAUCCACACCACAAAGUAGGACCAAUGAAAUUUAAAUUUUUCCCUCUCCUAGCCGCAGCUUGGCGACGGGUUAGUGAAGUAAACGGCGGGUCUGAUGAAAAGGUCGUUCUCUCGAGCGGUGAUGUUAAAACCGAGCCGGAUCCAAACGUGGAGAGAUGAUGAAGAUGUCUUUUAGUCAGGGGAUGAGAAGUCUGCUAGUGGGGGAAAGAUGCAACAGAGAGAUACGGCAACCAUCUUCCACGGACGUUCUAUAUGCCAGACAGACAGUAUGAUCCGAAAAGAAAUUGUAGAGGGAGUGACUCAGAUUGUACAGAUGCUUGACACAGAAAAAGAGUGAUGGAACUCUUCUUCUUUUUUGUAGUGUGUCUGCUUUAGUGUCUUGAGAAUGUUUUAUCAGUUUAUAUGUAAUCCGUUUGUUCCCAAACUUGUAGACCAUUUUCUCAAAUUGAUUUUGUUUAGAUUA